UCGGGAAUUUUGGGCAAUGGGCGAAAGCCUGACCCAGCAACGCCGCGUGAGGGAUGAAGUAUUUCGGUAUGUAAACCUCGAAAGAAUGGGAAGAAUAAAUGACGGUACCAUUUAUAAGCUCCGGCUAACUACGUGCCAGCAGCCGCGGUAAUACGUAGGGAGCAAGCGUUGUUCGGAUUUACUGGGCGUAAAGGGCGCGUAGGCGGCGCGGUAAGUCACUUGUGAAAUCUCUGAGCCUAACUCAGAACGGCCAAGUGAUACUGCUGUGCUUGAGUGCGGAAGAGGAAACAAGAAUUCUUCGUGUAGCGGUGAAAUGAGUAGAUAUCAAGAGGAACCCAUACAGCGAAGGCGG
rnacentral:rRNA from 1 species